GAUGAACGCUGGCGGCGUGCCUAAUACAUGCAAGUCGAGCGAACAGACGAGGAGCUUGCUCCUCUGACGUUAGCGGCGGACGGGUGAGUAACACGUGGAUAACCUACCUAUAAGACUGGGAUAACUUCGGGAAACCGGAGCUAAUACCGGAUAAUAUAUUGAACCGCAUGGUUCAAUAGUGAAAGACGGUUUUGCUGUCACUUAUAGAUGGAUCCGCGCCGCAUUAGCUAGUUGGUAAGGUAACGGCUUACCAAGGCAACGAUGCGUAGCCGACCUGAGAGGGUGAUCGGCCACACUGGAACGGGGACAGGGUCCAGACGCCUACGGGAGGCAGCAGUAGGGUAUCUUCCGCAAUGGGCGAAAGCCUGACGGAGCAGCGCCGCGUGAGUGAUGAAGGUCUUCGGAUCGUAAAACUCUGUUAUUAGGGAAGAACAAAUGUGUAAGUAACUAUGCACGUCUUGACGGUACCUAAUCAGAAAGCCACGGCUAACUACGUG
rnacentral:rRNA from 1 species